rnacentral:rRNA from 1 species
UACGUAGGGGGCAAGCGUUGUCCGGAAUCAUUGGGCGUAAAGAGCGUGUAGGCGGCCCGAUAAGUCCGCUGUGAAAGUCCAGGGCUCAACCCUGGAAUGCCGGUGGAUACUGUCGGGCUCGAGUCCGGAAGAGGUGAGUGGAAUUCCUGGUGUAGCGGUGAAAUGCGCAGAUAUCAGGAGGAACACCAAUGGCGAAGGCAGCUCGCUGGGACGUGACUGACGCUGAGACGCGAAAGCGUGGGGAGCAAACAGG